CUACGUGCCAGCAGCCGCGGUAAUACGUAGGGCGCGAGCGUUGUCCGGAAUUAUUGGGCGUAAAGAGCUUGUAGGCGGUUUGUCGCGUCUGCUGUGAAAGGCCGGGGCUUAACCCCGUGUAUUGCAGUGGGUACGGGCAGACUAGAGUGCAGUAGGGGAGACUGGAACUCCUGGUGUAGCGGUGGAAUGCGCAGAUAUCAGGAAGAACACCGAUGGCGAAGGCAGGUCUCUGGGCYGUAACUGACGCUGAGGCGCGAAAGCCAGGGGAGCGAACGGGAUUAGAUACCCCGGUAGUCCUGGCCGUAAACGAUGGGUACUAGGUGUAGGAGGUAUCGACCCCUUCUGUGCCGGAGUUAACGCAAUAAGUACCCCGCCUGGGGAGUACGACCGCAAGGUUGAAACUCAAAGGAAUUGACGGGGGCCCGCACAAGCGGUGGAGUAUGUGGUUUAAUUCGACGCAACGCGAAGAACCUUACCAGGUCUUGACA
rnacentral:rRNA from 1 species